AGGAAUGGUGCCCACAUCGCCCCACGUUCUACAGAACACACUGUCAGAAUGACAGAACACCAAGUAGGUAGGACACAAUCAGAACCUGAGCGCCCUGUAAGCAGCGCAGGAGAUGACAAGCCAUCCAGGAAUAACCCUAAGGAGCCACAUGGACUCUGUGCACAAUGUAGGGCACUCAGGCUACAAUAAGCUUUUUCACCAUAGCUACAUGUAUAUGUAUAGAAAUAUAUAUAUAUACAUAUGUGUCUCUCUCCGCACACACGCAUCUAUCCAGGAGAGUUCGUCUGUGUGUAGCACGAUAGCCUGGGGAACAGCAGAAACUGCAGCCAACACACACAUAUACAGUACAGACAGAUCUCAGUGUUACACAGCAGUCUCCUGGUUGGAUAUAUACUGUACAGCUGCUGUACACCAUAGUCUCUCGGACAUGUUCAGAUCGCCCUGUCAGGACCGGCUCACAGCGAAUCCGGACCAUAACAGGCAUGAUGUCCACCUUCUGUUACUGCUGCUGCUGACCUCACCCUGGGGAAGAAGGUAGCCAGAAUUAUUGGAAAACUGCCAGUCUUAACAGCUGAUGGAAUUGGAUGAUAACAGCUAAAGACUCUUUGAUGGCUGUGGCAGAAGCGGUUUUGAAAUGGUGAACGCCAAAAACCAAGGCAACGUUUUCCUCUACCUCGGACCUGAAGUUACUGAGACAUGAAUAUGAAACACAUGAACACAUGAAUAUAAAAACAUUACACUUUUAAUACCUAUUUGUUGCUUUACAGGGUAUAAAGGCCAUGCUAAAGUCCAAGAAAACUUCUCAGCAGCCAGUAUGUUGUGAAUUCUAUACUGCCAUUCAGAGUAAAUGUAAUAGCAUCGUUUGCCAUUUUGGAUUACAAAGUCAACUUUAAUGAGGCACUGACACAAAAUUACAAAGGUCUCAUUCGCAUACCAAAUGUUACCAGAAUGCAGAUGAAGCAAUUUAUUCUCUCCCUUUUAAAGUGACUGUGACAUAUCUAAACCAAUGUUCUGAUUUAAAAACAGUAUAGAAAGAAUAAAUUAUACAUGAACUGUUCACUUAACAAUGUUAUGACAUCACUACUUGAAGCUCUAAUAGCUUGUGAUAGCUGCCAUGUCUUUCAAUUACUCUUUCCUUAUAAAAGGGGCCGGUAACACCAAAAUAUGACAGGGUUUAGUAUGCAUUUCAGUAUAAUAUUCUGUUACCCGGUACUGAUAAAAAAUGCAUUAAUUUCAGGAGCUCUACUAUAGUUAAUGUAAACAACUACUGUGUAACCAUAGGAUCUGCCAAAAGGGCUGUAGGGAUCACAAAAAGUAAUGGGGUCACAUAUCAUUCAUGGCUCUCUGCACUAGGGUGGCCAGAUCACUUGAUCUAAAAAAGCUAGCAGGGCUUAACUGAUUGCAGUUUAUUUUAAAUGCAAUCAGUGCUGCCCUCCAACAUGUAUUUCGUAUUUGAAUUUUCAAGUGAUCUGCUCACCCUACUCUACACCCCAAUAGGGAGAAACCAUUUUUCAUCUAAAAAUUUGGGGCCAAGAAACUAUUUUCACCUAUUACAUAUUUUUUGGUGCUGGGCAAACAUCUAUAACUUUUAAAUGUAAAUAAAAUAUUAGUGGCCCUUUAACCCAUAGCACAGGGAACCCCAUCUGUCACUGGCAGUACACAAACACCAUUGUUUUUGUGUAGACAGAAGCAGUAGGUAGAUAUUGUAACACAGCAUGCAAUAAAACAAAAAGAACUCUCAGGUAACCUUCAAAGAUUCAUAUAAAAUAUAUUUGUUACUAUCAGAGUGUUUUUAAGUCAGUUACUGAAGUGAUUUAAUAAGUAGCCUUAACAAUAAGUUCCUUUUUCCACUCCAGCCUAUAUUGAAUACUGCUCCCAGGCUUAGUCCCCUCACCUUUGUUCCUCUUCUACUUCCCCAUCAGACUAACAUUAAUUGAUUCACACAAUGUCAAGAACAAGUAUAUAAUACUGUCACACUUAAAGGUUAUGCUAUUGUACAGUUCUGCUCACAUUUGCAAGACUUUCCUUAGCCUUAUAUGAUCAUAUAAUUCCUUCUUCUGCCUCUUAUACUUAAGUUUCUUUCCAAGUCCACAAUAAUUUUCAUUAUUGUUGUUACUGAGUCUAUAAUGUUCUUGAUGCUUGUAACCUUAUAAAAUGUGAUAUAUUAGUGCUGAAAUUGCUGUUGAGAGAUGUAUCAAAUAAUGUAGCAAAUCUGAGCAGUUGAGGUAGUUACCUAUGAACUGUUUAUUCUCAUAGACAAAUUCUACCAUCUUAUUUAUUUAUUUCCUGGGAUUUAUAUAGCACUGACACAUUUACGCAGUGCUUUACAGAGAUAAAACAUCAU